rnacentral:lncRNA from 1 species
GGAGCUGCAAACUGCCCUCAGGGCAAAGAAGCCUGCAGAAUAAUUGGGAGGAGUCUGGCAGGAAGGAAGCCAAGAAAGCACAAGCAAGAAUGUGUGAGAAGAUCACAGAGACCUAAAGAAGGGGAAGGGAAGAACCCACAUGUGAGAGAGAAGAGAUUGUCUGACUUGGUCUCUUAGGGCUCCUCAUCUCAAGAAGCCAGCAGGCAAGGGAAGGACAAACCAUCCUUGCAGGAAUAAUUCGUACUGAUCAUUUGGAGGAGAUUCGGCUAGUAUAGCUGCUGUUACAUAAUGAAGAAAAGGAAGAAUAUGUUUCAAACUCAGAUGAACCACUGGGGAGUCUCUUGAUACUCUGUUGCCUAAUUUGGAUGGUUAAUGGUCAGUGUUCCUAAUUGCACUGCCCCUGGAAAACGCACGGAGAAGAAAUACAGCAAAAUACAUGAGAUGGUGAAACACUCUGGCAACUGCAAGCGGACAGAUGGGAUCUGGGAGGGACUCCCAUCUUCUGCAUGGCAUCAGCACAAGGGUGAAGAGGGAAGAUAAAGGAUCAUGCAGGGAGUUUCAUGGACUAGGCCUGGAAGUGCCAUAUUCCACUGCUGCUUGUGUUCCAGAAGGCAGCCGCACAGCCACAAGGGAUUGUAAAGGAAGCUGAAAAAUAUGAUCGAGCAUUGUGUCUGGGAAGAGAGGGAAAUGGGUAUGGUGCAUGACUAACCAGUGUUUGUCACAGCACAGAAAGUAAGGUAUAAAGGAAACAACUCACUCUGUAUUCCCUAAGACAGUUGUGCUAAUAGCAUUAGCAGAAUUGUUAAUGUUAGCAGAAAUAACAGUUAAUUGUUCAGGUGUAGAACCCCCAGGGUGAGCUGGGAAUUCUCUCUUGAAUGACAGUCUUCCAUUUUGUCUCUUCUUCUUAGUCUUUUCUGCCAUUGCCUUUGUUCAGAUCUUUUCUACCUUGUGUCCAGCUUGCUGGAACCUCCACCUUCCUGGCCUGAAAGAACUAGCUUGUGAACAUGUAUCAUGUUUGCUUUCUUCUGCAAGUUGGCUCAUACAUUUUAUUAUUACCUAAUGCUGCGUAAAAACUCAUUCCAAAACUCAGUGGCUUAAAACAGCAGUAAAUUUUUAUAUCUCUCCUGGUUUCUGUGGGUCAGGAAUUUGGGGAGCAGCUUAGCUGGGUGGUUUUGGUUUGGGGUUUCUCUUGGGGUUGAACUGAGAUAUCUGCUGGGCUCUGCAGUCAUCUGAAAACUUACUGGGGGCUCAAGGUGGUUCACACAUGUGGAUGGCAAGUUGGUACUGGCUGUUGGCAAGAUGUCUCAGUAUCUCUCUAAGCAGGCCUCUCUUCACGGCUGCUUGAGUGACUUCAUGGAAUGGUGGCUGAAUUCUCCCAGAAUAAAUGAUUCAAGAGCCAAGGUAAAGCCAUAUGCCCUUUAUAACCGGGCCUCGGAAAUCCCUCACUGUCACCUCUGCCAUACUCUACUGUUCAUGUGAAUGACCCUGAUUCAGUGUGGGAAGAGACUAUGCAGGGCAUAAUACCAGAAGGCAAAAAUCACUGGGGGCAAUUUGGGAGGCUGGCCACCACACAGACUGCAUUUCAACUAUGCACCUCCCUCAAUCUCAACUUUUUCCAUACUCUCUCACUUUCUCUUCCACUUUCUGUAUUCAGAUCAAAGCCCAUCGCUUCAUGAAGUAUGCCCUGACCACUCAGCAACUAGCACUCCCAUUGCAAUUCAUUGUUCUUGCCACAUAUAUGGUCUUUAUAAUUUAACACCCUGCUUUGAAGAUGUACACGUGUGUCUUUUCUUUCAGAUGGAAUUUAAAGAAUCGUACACUAUACUCCCUGUCAUAUAGUAGGCACU